rnacentral:rRNA from 1 species
UACGUAGGGUGCAAGCGUUGUCCGGAAUUAUUGGGCGUAAAGAGCUCGUAGGCGGUUUGUCGCGUCGGCUGUGAAAACCCGGGGCUCAACCCCGGGCCUGCAGUCGAUACGGGCAAACUAGAGUGCGGUAGGGGAGACUGGAAUUCCUGGUGUAGCGGUGAAAUGCGCAGAUAUCAGGAGGAACACCGGUGGCGAAGGCGGGUCUCUGGGCCGUAACUGACGCUGAGGAGCGAAAGCGUGGGGAGCAAACAGG